GGAUUAUGCUCAGGCACC
rnacentral:misc_RNA from 1 species